GAUGAACGCUAGCGGGAGGCCUAACACAUGCAAGCCGAGCGGUAUUGUUUCUUCGGAAAUGAGGGAGCGGCGUACGGGCGCGGAACACGUGUGCAACCUGCCUUUAUCUGGGGGAUAGCCUUUCGAAAGGAAGAUUAAUACUCCAUAAUAUAUUGAACGGCAUCGUUUAAUAUUGAAAGCUCCUGCGGAUAGAGAUGGGCACGCGCAAGAUUAGCUAGUUGGGGAGGUAACGGCUCACCAAGGCAAUGAUCUUUAGGGGGCCUGAGAGGGUGAUCCCCCACACUGGUACUGAGACACGGACCAGACCCCUACGGGAGGCAGCAGUGAGGAAUAUUGGUCAAUGGGUGCAAGCCUGAACCAGCCAUCCCGCGUGAAGGACGACUGCCCUAUGGGUUGUAAACUUCUUUUGUAUAGGGAUAAACCUUUCCACGUGUGGAAAGCUGAAGGUACUAUACGAAUAAGCACCGGCUAACUCCGUGCCAGCAGCCGCCGUAAUAC
rnacentral:rRNA from 1 species